rnacentral:misc_RNA from 1 species
GCAAGAUAAGAAAAUAAUCAAACAAAAAAUUGACAAUUGAAAAAUCAUGCAAUAUAAAAUAAGUAAAACAACAUAUAGCGGAUUCAAAAGUUGCAUGCAUACGUACAUACAUACAUACAUAAAGCAGUUCUAUUUCCAUCAGUUAUCUGCUAUGCUAGAAGUCCCCUCCCAAGGUGAGAAAGAGAAAAGGUAAAACUUAAAAGUAAUGAAGAAAAGGAACAUAACAGAAUACCUGCCUCAU